UACAGAGGUCCCAAGCGUUGUUCGGAUUCAUUGGGCGUAAAGGGUGCGUAGGUGGCAUGGUAAGUCGGGUGUGAAAUCCCGGGGCUCAACCCCGGAACUGCACUCGAUACUGCCGUGCUCGAGUACUGGAGAGGAGACUGGAAUUUACGAUGUAGCGGUGAAAUGCGUAGAUAUCGUAAGGAAGACCAGUGGCGAAGGCGGGUCUCUGGACAGUUCCUGACGCUGAGGCACGAAGGCCAGGGGAGCAAACGGG
rnacentral:rRNA from 1 species